CCGCCAGCUCGGAUCAACGUUCAUCACAGUGUGGUGCGCCUUUGAUGACCAUUGGAGAGCCCAGCGUUUCAUGGUCGGUGGUGAUAGUAGACCACUUGCAAUUUGCUGCCCUGAUGCAGCAAGUUAAGACAUUGAUCGAGGCUGUCUAUGGACUCCAGCAGACUCAGUAGCUACGAUCGAAGGAGUCGGCACCGCAGGACGUGCCCUCUCGGCAUAGUUGCCAGUCCC
rnacentral:lncRNA from 1 species